rnacentral:rRNA from 1 species
AACGUAGGUGGCGAGCGUUAUCCGGAUUUACUGGGCGUAAAGCGUGUGCAGGCGGGUGGUCAAGUGGUGUAUGAAAGCACUGCGCUCAACGCAGUGACCGUAGGCCAGACUGACUAUCUGGAGGGCGAGAGAGGGGCGUGGAAUUCCGGGUGUAGUGGUGAAAUGCGUAGAGAUCCGGAGGAACCCCAGAGGCGAAGGCGGCGCCCUGGCUCGCACCUGACGCUGAGGUGCGAAAGCGUGGGGAGCAAACAGG